rnacentral:rRNA from 1 species
UGAGGAAUAUUGGUCAAUGGGCGAGAGCCUGAACCAGCCAAGUAGCGUGCAGGAUGACGGCCCUAUGGGUUGUAACUGCUUUUAUGUGGGGAUAAAGUGCGUGACGUGUCAUGCAUUGCAGGUACCACAUGAAUAAGGACCGGCUAAUUCCGUGCCAGCAGCCGCGGUAAUACGGAAGGUCCGGGCGUUAUCCGGAUUUAUUGGGUUUAAAGGGAGCGUAGGCUGUCUAUUAAGCGUGUUGUGAAAUUUACCGGCUCAACCGGUGGCUUGCAGCGCGAACUGGUCGACUUGAGUAUGCAGGAAGUAGGCGGAAUUCAUGGUGUAGCGGUGAAAUGCUUAGAUAUCAUGACGAACUCCGAUUGCGCAGGCAGCUUACUGUAGCAUAACUGACGCUGAUGCUCGAAAGUGCGGGUAUCAAACAGG